rnacentral:rRNA from 1 species
AGAGUUUGAUCCUGGCUCAGAACGAACGCUGGCGGCAGGCCUAACACAUGCAAGUCGAACGCCCCGCAAGGGGAGUGGCAAACGGGUGAGUAACACGUGGGAAUUUUCCUCAUAGUUCGGGAUAGCCUCGGGAAACUGGGAUUAAUACCGGAUACGGUCUACGGACGAAAGAUUUAUCGCUAUGAGAUAAGCCCGCGCCUGAUUAGCUAGUUGGUGAGGUAAUGGCUCACCAAGGCUACGAUCAGUAGCUGGUCUGAGAGGACGACCAGCCACACUGGGACUGAGAUACGGCCCAGACUCCUACGGGAGGCAGCAGUGGGGAAUAUUGGACAAUGGGCGCAAGCCUGAUCCAGCCAUGCCGCGUGAGUGAUGAAGGCCUUCGGGUUGUAAAGCUCUUUAGCAGGGGAAAAUAAUGAUGGUACCCUGAAAAUAAGCUCCGGCUAACUCCGUGCCAGCAGCCGCGGUAAUACGGAGGGAGCUAGCGUUGUUCGGAAUUACUGGGCGUAAAGCGAGCGCAGGCUGUGUAUCAAGUCAGAGGUGAAAUCCCGGAGCUUAACUCCGGAAUUGCCUUUGAAACUGAUACGCUAGAGUCUGGAAGAGGGUGGUGGAAUUCUUAGUGUAGCGGUGAAAUGCGUAGAUAUUAAGAGGAACACCAGUGGCGAAGGCGGCCACCUGGUCCAGUACUGACGCUAUAGCUCGAAAGCGUGGGGAUCAAACAGGAUUAGAUACCCUGGUAGUCC